rnacentral:rRNA from 1 species
AGCGAACGCUGGCGGCAGGCCUAACACAUGCAAGUCGAGCGGCCGUAGCAAUACGGCAGCGGCAGACGGGAGAGUAACACGUGGGAACGCGCCCUUCAGUUCGGGAUAACUCAGGGAAACUUGAGCUAAUACCGGAUACGCCCUUACGGGGAAAGAUUUAUUGCCGAAGGAACGGCCCGCGUCCGAUUAGCUUGUUGGUGAGGUAACGGCUCACCAAGGCGACGAUCGGUAGCUGGUCUGAGAGGAUGACCAGCCUCACUGGGACUGAGACACGGCCCAGACUCCUACGGGAGGCAGCAGUGGGGAAUAUUGGACAAUGGGCGCAAGCCUGAUCCAGCCAUGCCGCGUGGGUGAUGAAGGCCCUAGGGUUGUAAAGCCCUUUCAGCGGGGAAGAUAAUGACGGUACCCGCAGAAGAAGCCCCGGCUAACUUCGUGCCAGCCGCCGCAGUAACAC